UACAGAGGGGGCAAGCGUUGUUCGGAAUUACUGGGCGUAAAGGGCGCGUAGGCAGCCUUCUAAGUCGAACGUGAAAUCCCUGGGCUCAACCCAGGAACUGCGUCCGAUACUGGAAGGCUUGAAUCCGGGAGAGGGAUGCGGAAUUCCAGGUGUAGCGGUGAAAUGCGUAGAUAUCUGGAGGAACACCGGUGGCGAAGGCGGCAUCCUGGACCGGUAUUGACGCUGAGGCGCGAAAGCCAGGGGAGCAAACGGGG
rnacentral:rRNA from 1 species